AGGCGGCGUCUCCGGGAGCGGGUCUCCGGCUCCGCCGGCUCUUUCGCCACGGCCAGGGCCUGGCACCCACCUGACUGGCGGGGGCCCGCGCGCGACCUUCUGGGAGCAGUAGUCCCGGCGCGGGGCGUCGCGCCCAGUGACGUCAGAGAGCCCGUGGCCGGCCCUGGGUCCCACCGCUGCCGGCCCAGCGCUUUGGGGAGUGACUUCCGGCCAUGCGGGGCCUCUACCGCUGCCAUCGCGGUCCCGGUCUCCUGAAGUGGAACCCGGCUUGGAGUCGAGCGCGACCCCUCGCCCGUGGGCGCAGGCGAUCGAGUAAGGGUGGGGCGGGCCUCAAACCCGGAUCAGAACCCGCCCUGACCGGCGCAGAGAUACGGGACGCAGCCUAAGCAAGGCCCGGGAAGAAGUUGGGUUUCCCUGCCAUCCUUCCUGCCCCAGCCCCUCAUCCUCAACUCACCAUCAACCCUUCCACGAUCCCAAAUCGCUCGUGGAUGACUUUGGCGAGGGGAGCCAAACAGUUGGUGGUGCAGGACGCGUUGCUGAAACAGCCAAGGUGUGCACGGACACUGUGAGGUGAGUCGCAGAGCCACCCCUCCACCCUUACCCCUCUUGGGGUAUGCACGCAGACUUGGUUUUAUGAAACGUCAGGAUGAGGGUGAGAGGGAUCUGUGGGGACACUGUCAGACUGAAGGAGGCACUGAGGUGCAGCUGGGGAGGCUCCCCAAGCUUGUCCUCUGGAAGUCAUGCGUUUUUAGCAGAUAGUUUCGGGAAGGAGAAGCAGAAGCCAAGCGACCAGGAAUCCAGUGGGGCUGAGGGUGGGGAGGACGAGUCUACCCUCCCUUCCACACAUUGCAGGAUGUCACUGCCCACAUUACCUCACAAUGUUCAUGGAGCCAGGGUUAUAGUCAUUUUCAUUGACACCCAUGACGAACAUUGGUGCAUCCGGUGAGGGCGCGGAGAUGACCACACGUUGAGCACCUGCAGAGAUGUGGUCCUGGGGAGGAAGCGCAGGUGUCAGGGGCUUCUGGCACCAUCAUCCCCCCAGCUAGCCCUGGGCACCUCUCCCCAGCUUACCGAAGCUGCCUGUAUGGAGAGGUACACGCCUGUGGACUCCACCACGUAGGGGCUCCCGACAGCCCUCCAGGGGAUCUGUUUGGGCUCUUUGCUGUGGGGAAGUGGCAGGGCUGAGUCAGUCUCCCCUGCUUGAGCCCCACCUUCAUAGUCCAUGGCUUUCACCAUUUGACAGGCUGAGCAGGUACCGGCCCACCUGCAACCACCUGCGUCCCCUACCCCACACACCUACUUGUUCCAGAUGGGCUCCACCCCGCUGGCCUAGCUUUUCACCACUGCCCCACUUCAGACCACUUUCCCUUUGCUGAUUGCACCACCCCUGUUAUGCCUGGGUACAGGUGGUGACCUCCCCAACUCAGCCCUCAACCUCCUCAGAGGCGCCAAUGCUGACUGCUGUCAGCCAGCCCAGACCCUUUCUCCAUAUGCUGCCCGGGACGUGGACUCUGUGACUGUGAGGCCUGCCCGGCUGCUUUCUGCUUCCCAGCUCUGACAACCUCGCCAUGAACCCUCCUAGACCCUCAGCUCCUGCAAUAGGAAGCUGGCUGCCAAAGGCCAGGAGGGUCCCUGAAAACAGACACUGCAUUAAAGAAAAAGCUCCUGGAGGACUCCUGAAGCCUGAGGCAGCCUUGGGGCAGCAGUGGCUCAUGGUUUACAUUGGAAAGGUUUAUCAUGAGUAACCGGGUGCUUUGCUUCUGUGAUUCUUGGCCAGUGUCGGUCUGUUUCCUUUGCCAUUGAGCCUGCUCCCCUCAAUGGGGGGUUCAAUCAAUGUUUGUGGGGUUUGUUUGUUUUGAGACAGGGUCUUCCUCUGUCGCCCAGGCUGGAGUGCAGUGGUGCAAUCAGAGCUCACUGCAGCCUUGAUCUUCCUGGCUCCGGCCAUCCUCCUGCCUUGGCCUCCCGAGUAGCUGGGACUACAGGCGCACACCACCAUGCCAAGCUAAUUUUUAAAUUUUUUUGUAGAGAUGGGGUCUCACUUUUGUUGCCCAGGGUGCUUUAGAACCCCUGGGCUCAAGUGAUCCUUGACCUCCCACAGUGCUGGGAUUACAGGUGUGAGCCACCGUGCCUGGCCUCAUGGGUUUUCUUUGUUUUGUUUUGUUUUGUUUUUGAGACAGAGUCUCACUCUGUCACUCAGGCUGGAGUGCAGUGGCACGAUUUUGGCUCACUGCAACCUCCACCUUCCGGGUUCAAGCGAUUCUCCUGCCUCCGCCUCCCGAGUAGUUGGGGUUACAGGCAUGCGCUACCACACCUGGCUAGUUUUUUAUUGUUGUUGUUUUUUGUAUUUUUAGUGGUGACGGGGUUUGCUCUGUUGGCCAGGCUGGUCUCAAACUCCUGACCUCAGGUGAUCCCCACUUCAGCCUCCCAAAGUGCUGGGAUGACAGGCAUGAGCCUCUGCACCUGGCCUCGUGUUUUUUUUUUAGUUAGCCAUUUUAUACGUGUUUACUGAACACCUGUCCUGUGCCCAUAUUCUAAGUGCCUUACCUGCAUUAAACUCAUGUAACCUUCACAACCCGAUGAGGAAGUGCUACCGCUGUCAUUUUUUGCAUUUUUUUACUGCUGUCAGGGCAGAGGGGAGGGGAGUGAGAGGGAGAGCCUGCUGGAGUGCAGGUGGCUGGUCCCACCUCGGGUCUGCACUCCUGUUUCCACUGCCUGAAUGAAUGAAUGAAUGGGCUGCCCUGCAAAGCCAUCACACAUGCAUGGUUAUCCUCUUCCUGUCUCCUGCUCUGUCAGUCCACUUUCCAUCAUCUGGCCCAACGAGCUCUUCUCAGAUACCCCCCAUUUCCUGCCUUCCAAAUUAGGGACACUUGCGAUUCCUCUGCAACAAUUGCUGAGUUGGCCUGAGGCAAAGACUGUGCCCCCAGAAGACCCCAGGCCCUCCCCAAGGCUGUC
rnacentral:lncRNA from 10 species